rnacentral:tRNA from 1 species
UCCCUGGUGGCUCAGAUGGUAAAGUGUCUGCCUGCAAUGCGGGAGACCCGGGUUUGAUCCCUGGGUCGGGAA